UGACGGCCACAGCCGAUGAAGGAGAGUCCCUGCUCCAGCGCGUUGUCAGGUAUGUCAUGAACCGGUCAGCUGAUUGCUGUGCAUGCGGAGGUGGCCAUCGCCAUCUUACCCCACAGCCCCUUGUGUGUGCUUUGGACUUCAUGCAUCCCUUUGAGGAGAUCUUAGGCACUCCUUUUUGCCAUCAAGGCACCUUGCAAAGUUUGGGUCUGCUGCAUGCAUGUUGGUCCAAGAGGAAGCCUGUCAUUGACAUCCACGUGCUCAUGGCUGAGGGCGGGUUUGCUCGUCUGCUUGGCCAGGUUGGAUGCAGUGCUGACAGAUCGGAUUGGUCCAACGCCGCAGCCGUCACCCACGCCCGAGCCUGCCAUUGAAACAGUUACGACCGCCAAACGGCGCCGGCCGGAGCCAGAGCCGCCGGCCGAGCAGCCGGGCCACGCCGGCGCGGAAGCAGCCGCCGACGACGCGCA
rnacentral:lncRNA from 1 species